UAGAGCCUGAGAGAAAAUAUAACUCAAGUUGAUGGGAUGGUGUAAUGCUAUUUUAGGUGGCACUGUUUUUAGGGUGCUCAGCUAUUUAAGAGGAAUAUCAGAUAGGACAGCAAGUUAGGAAAGUUUUGUUGUUUUGCCAAUCACGGACCU